CUUCAACACGGUCAUUUCUUACACUUCCACUAGUCUGCUCUACAAGAAUGACAAUCAUGCAAACCAGUGCUAUGGAAACUGCCAACUACUGGAUGGUUCUAGAAGGUUGUGGGGCCUAGGGCCAGCUACCUCCAAGAGCUUCAGGCCAAAGAAACCUUUUCAGAAGUAAAUCCCACCUCCACUUAGGGUCUACAGGAUGUAGUACUUUUUGCUCAUCAUACUUCAGCUAUUGCUUUAAAAGAGGCCCCUUCUGGGCCCAGCUGGGCUUUUUGUGUGCUUUCUAAGAAGCAGAUUCUUGGAGGUGGAGCCCUGAAAAAAAAUUCAGCUUUGAAGUCUUAGGUAUGGAUGACCAAGGAUGCAUACAAAGACCGCCCCUGAAAGACUCCCCAAAGAGCUUUCAGACCAAGAAUAUUCACUGAGGCUGGAGAAAGCUCCUGCAAAAAGGACA